AAGAACCCUACCUAUAUAUACUGUGCCGAGGCGAGCAUAUGUCGCCUUGAAGAAGCCAAGUCGACUUGUCGAAACAUUGCCUCCUACUCUCACCUUGUUCUCGUGUUGCUCAUCGUACACAUAAAGAUCCCAC
rnacentral:lncRNA from 1 species